rnacentral:tmRNA from 1 species
GGGGGCGACUGGUUUCGACGGCAAGAUGGAGGGUCUGGAAGAGCGAGUCGAGGUCUCCGUAACCUCGUUAACAAACGGAACCUAAAGAUAAUUGCCAACAAUAACUACGCACUGGCUGCAUAAUUAGCGGCCACGUCUUCAGUAGCUUUCUCCGCCGGGCUUCUGAAAGACGUCACUAAGGCGGAUGCUCCACCGGGAAUGUCUCCGGUCCGGUGGUCAAGCUUCAGGGGGCUUGGGGGAGGAUAUCCUGUUCCUGGGAGAUCUGACCCGACACUAAAACAGGAAAUACGCUCGUAGCGCUUCCACGGCUGGCCCUUGUCGGACCGGAGUUCGAAUCUCCGCGCCUCCACCA